rnacentral:rRNA from 1 species
GACGAACGCUGGCGGCGUGCUUAACACAUGCAAGUCGAACGGAAAGGCCCUGCUUUUGUGGGGUGCUCGAGUGGCGAACGGGUGAGUAACACGUGAGUAACCUGCCCUUGACUUUGGGAUAACUUCAGGAAACUGGGGCUAAUACCGGAUAGGAGCUCCUGCUGCAUGGGGGGGGUUGGAAAGUUUCGGCGGUUGGGGAUGGACUCGCGGCUUAUCAGCUUGUUGGUGGGGUAGUGGCUUACCAAGGCUUUGACGGGUAGCCGGCCUGGGAAGGUGACCGGCCACAUUGGGACUGAGAUCCGGCCCAGACUCCUACGGGACGCAGCAGUGCGGAAUAUUGCACAAUGGGCGGAAGCCUGAUACAGCAGCGCCGCGUGCGGGAUGACGGCCUUCGGGUUGUAAACCGCUUUCGCCUGUGACGAAGCGUGAGUGACGGUAAUGGGUAAAGACGCACCGUCUAACUACGUG